AAUUUUGCCCAAGGGGGAAACCCGAAGGAAGAAACGCCGCGUGGGAGGUGACCUUUUUGGAGCGUAAAUCCUUUUUUUAGGGAAGAAUUCUGACGGUACCUAAGGAAUAAGCCCGGCUAAUUCCGUGCCAGCAGCGCGGUAAUACGGAGGUGCAAGCGUUACUUGGAAUCACUGGGCGUAAAGGCGCGUUGGCGGAUUAUCAAGUCUCUUUUGAAAUCUAAUGGCUUAACCAUUAAACUGCUUGGGAAAAUGAUUGUCUAGAGUGAGGGAGAGGCAGAUGGAAUUGGUGGUGUAGGGGUAAAAUCCGUAGAUAUCACCAAGAAUACCCAUUGCGAAGGCGAUCUGCUGGAACUCAACUGACGCUAAGGCGCGAAAGCGUGGGGAGCAAACAGGAUUAGAUACCCUGGUAGUCCACGCCCUAAACGAUGUACACUAGUUGUUGGGGUGCUAGUCAUCUCAGUAAUGCAGCUAACGCAUUAAGUGUACCGCCUGGGGAGUACGGUCGCAAGAUUAAAACUCAAAGGAAUAGACGGGGACCCGCACAAGCGGUGGAGCAUGUGGUUUAAUUCGAAGAUACGCGAAGAACCUUACCUGGGCUUGAUAUCCUAAGAACCUUUUAGAGAUAAGAGGGUGCUAGCUUGCUAGAACUUAGAGACAGGUGCUGCACGGCUGUCGUCAGCUCGUGUCGUGAGAUGUUGGGUUAAGUCCCGCAACGAGCGCAACCCACGUAUUUAGUUGCUAACGGUUCGGCCGAGCACUCUAAAUAGACUGCCUUCGUAAGGAGGAGGAAGGUGUGGACGACGUCAAGUCAUCAUGGCCCUUAUGCCCAGGGCGACACACGUGCUACAAUGGCAUAUACAAUGAGACGCAAUACCGCGAGGUGGAGCAAAUCUAUAAAAUAUGUCCCAGUUCGGAUUGUUCUCUGCAACUCGAGAGCAUGAAGCCGGAAUCGCUAGUAAUCGUAGAUCAGCCAUGCUACGGUGAAUACGUUCCCGGGUCUUGUACUCACCGCCCGUCACACCAUGGGAGUUGAUUUCACUCGAAGCCGGAAUACUAAACUAGUACCUCCA
rnacentral:rRNA from 1 species